rnacentral:rRNA from 1 species
AUUGAACGCUGGCGGCAGGCCUAACACAUGCAAGUCGAGCGGAGCGGCGGAAGGGGGAGUGAUGCCUAGGAAUCUGCCUGGGAGUGGGGGAUAAAUUCCAGAGACGGGCGCUAAUACCGCAUGAUUUCAAGUGAGCCUAGGUCGGAUUAGCUAGGUGGUGGGGUAAAGGCUUACCAAGGCGACGAUGCGUAACUGGCCUGAGAGGAUGAUCAGCCACACUGGAACUGAGACACGGCCCAGACUCCUACGGGAGGCAGCAGUGGGGAAUCUUCGGCAAUGGGCGAAAGCCUGACCGAGCAAUGCCGCGUGAGUGAAGAAGGUUUUCGGAUUGUAAAACUCUUUUGGUAGGGAGGCGUUAUCUAAACAAUAAGCAACGGCUAACUACGUGCCAGCAGCCGCGGUAAUAC